CGCGUAGGCGGUUCGAUUAGUCGGAGGUGAAAUCCCUCGGCUCAACCGAGGACCCGCGUCCGAUACUGUCGAACUUGAGUGCAGGAGAGGAGAGCGGAAUUCCCAGUGUAGCGGUGAAAUGCGUAGAUAUUGGGAGGAACACCGGUGGCGAAGGCGGCUCUCUGGACUGUUACUGACGCUGAGGCGCGAAAGCUAGGGGAGCAAACGGGAUUAGAUACCCCGGUAGUCCUAGCCGUAAACGAUGGGCACUAGGUGUGGGAGGUAUCGACCCCUUCCGUGCCGCAGCUAACGCAUUAAGUGCCCCGCCUGGGGAGUACGGCCGCAAGGUUGAA
rnacentral:rRNA from 1 species